CAGCCGCCGCGGGAAUACGGAGGGUGCGAGCGUUAGUCGGAAUUACUGGGCGUAAAGCGUACGCAGGCGGUUUGUCAAGUCAGAUGUGAAAUCCCCGAGCUUAACUCGGGAACUGCAUUUGAAACUGGCAGGCUAGAGUCUCGUAGAGGGGGGUAGAAUUCCAGGUGUAGCGGUGAAAUGCGUAGAGAUCUGGAGGAAUACCGGUGGCGAAGGCGGCUUUCUGGACUGUAACUGACGCUCAUGCACGAAAGCGUGGGGAGCAAACAGGAUUAGAUACCCGUGUAGUCCCUGUCUCUUAUAC
rnacentral:rRNA from 1 species